GUGGUUAGGAUUCGGCGCUCUCACCG
rnacentral:piRNA from 4 species